GAGACCGGCGCACGGGUGCGUAACGCGUAUGCAAUCUACCUUUCACAAAGGGAUAGCCCAGAGAAAUUUGGAUUAAUACCUUAUAGUAUAUAUGAAUGGCAUCAUUUAUAUAUUAAAGAUUUAUCGGUGAAAGAUGAGCAUGCGUCCCAUUAGCUAGUUGGUAAGGUAACGGCUUACCAAGGCAACGAUGGGUAGGGGUCCUGAGAGGGAGAUCCCCCACACUGGUACUGAGACACGGACCAGACUCCUACGGGAGGCAGCAGUGAGGAAUAUUGGACAAUGGGCGCAAGCCUGAUCCAGCCAUGCCGCGUGCAGGAUGACGGUCCUAUGGAUUGUAAACUGCUUUUAUACAGGAAGAAACACUUGCUCGUGAGCAAACUUGACGGUACUGUAAGAAUAAGGAUCGGCUAACUCCGUGCCAGCAGCCGCGGUAAUACGGAGGAUCCAAGCGUUAUCCGGAAUCAUUGGGUUUAAAGGGUCCGUAGGCGG
rnacentral:rRNA from 1 species